rnacentral:rRNA from 1 species
CAGCCGCCGCGGUAAUACCAGCCCCGCGAGUGGUCGGGACGGUUAUUGGGCCUAAAGCGCCCGUAGCCGGCCCGGCAAGUCCCUCCUUAAAGCCUCGGGCCCAACCCGAGGACGGGGGGGAUACUGCCGGGCUAGGGGGCGGGAGAGGCCGAGGGUACUCCCGGGGUAGGGGCGAAAUCCGUUAAUCCCGGGAGGACCACCCGUGGCGAAGGCGCUCGGCUGGAACGCGCCCGACGGUGAGGGGCGAAAGCCGGGGGAGCGAACCGGAUUAGAUACCCGGGUAGUCCCGGCUGUAAACGAUGCGGGCUAGCUGUGGGGUGGGCUUAGAGCCCACCCAGUGGCGCAGGGAAGCCGUUAAGCCCGCCGCCUGGGGAGUACGGCCGCAAGGCUGAAACUUAAAGGAAUUGGCGGG